AACUAUCUUUUACUUAUUUAGACAAAGGAGAAAAAAGUUGCUGGUGACCUUGCCGGAGAUUGGUGGCAGAAUGGUGGAACAUUAGUUAUUAAUAAAGAUGGCAAAGCCCUUUUGACAUUUAGACAAGAAACUCCAGGGGAGCAUGUUGAUCCGAAUGAAGUCCUGAAGGCUCUGGGCAUUGAAGGCAAAGUGGAGGUUGAAGAUCAUGGAGCUGCGGAGUGUGGGGCUGAAGCGUGUGCCAUGCCUUCGAGACCUAAAAAGAAAUAAGUCUUUUAAAGUACAUUCUAGAACAGGGGUAGGCAGAUAUUACAUAGAUGAAAAUG
rnacentral:sRNA from 1 species